CGCUGGCGGCGUGCUUAACACAUGCAAGUCGAACGGUAACAGAGAGUAGCUUGCUACUUUGCUGACCAGUGGCGCACGGGUGAGUAAUAUAUAGAUAAUGUGCCUUUUAGUUCAGGAUAGCCAUUGGAAACGAUGAUUAAUACUGAAUACUCCUUCUUAUUAUAAGAUAAGUCGGGAAAGUUUUUCGCUAAAAGAUCGGUCUAUAUCCCAUCAGCUUGUUGGUAGUGUAAGAGACUACCGAGGCAAUGACGGGUAGCGGGUUUGAGAGGAUGAUCCGCCACACUGGUACUGAGACACGGACCAGACUCCUACGGGAGGCAGCAGUGAGGAAUAUUGCACAAUGGAGGAAACUCUGAUGCAGCAACGCCGCGUGGAGGAUGACGCAUUUCGGUGUGUAAACUCCUUUUAUAAGGGAAGAAAAUGACGGUACCUUAUGAAUAAGCACCGGCUAACUCCGUGCCAGCAGCCGCGGUAAUACGGAGGGUGCAAGCGUUAUUCGGAAUCACUGGGCGUAAAGGACGCGUAGGCGGGAAGCCAAGUCUGAUGUGAAAUCCUAUGGCUUAACCAUAGAACUGCAUUGGAAACUGGUUACCUAGAGUAUGGGAGGGGGAGAUGGAAUUAGUGGUGUAGGGGUAAAAAUCCGUAGAUAUCACUAGGAAUACCGAAAGCGAAGGCGAUCUCCUGGAACAUAACUGACGCUAAGGCGUGAAAGCGUGGGGAGCAAACAGGGAUUAGAUACCCUGGUAGUCCACGCCCUAAACGAUGUUCACUAGUCGUCGGGAUGCUAGUCAUCUUCGGUGAUGCACUUUAACAGAUUAAGUGAACCGCCCUGGGGAGUACGGUCGCAAGAUUAAAACUCAAAGGAAUAGACGGGGACCCGCACAAGUGGUGGAGCAUGUGGUUUAAUUCGAAGAUACGCGAAGAACCUUACCUAGCCUUGACAUUGAAGAAACACUUUAGAGAUAGAGUGGUGCCCUUCGGGGAAUCUGAAAACAGGUGCUGCACGGCUGUCGUCAGCUCGUGUCGUGAGAUGUUGGGUUAAGUCCCGCAACGAGCGCAACCCUCGUCCUUAGUUGCUAGCAGUUCGGCUGAGCACUCUAAGGAGACUGCCUUCGUAAGGAGGAGGAAGGUGAGGACGACGUCAAGUCAUCAUGGCCCUUAUGGCUAGGGCUACACACGUGCUACAAUGGGGCGUACAGAGUGUUGCGAUACCGCGAGGUGGAGCUAAUCACUUAAAGCGUCUCUCAGUUCGGAUUGGAGUCUGCAACUCGACUCCAUGAAGCUGGAAUCACUAGUAAUCGUAGAUCAGCAAUGCUACGGUGAAUACGUUCCCGGGUCUUGUACUCACCGCCCGUCACACCAUGGGAGUUGAUUUCACCCGAAAUCGGGAAGCGAACCUUCGGGGCGCUACCGCUU
rnacentral:rRNA from 1 species